AUUGAACGCUGGCGGCAGGCCUAACACAUGCAAGUCGAGCGGAUGAAGGUAGCGUGCUACCUGAUUCAGCGGCGGACGGGUGAGUAAUGCCUAGGAAUCUGCCUGGUAGUGGGGGACAACGUUUCGAAAGGAACGCUAAUACCGCAUACGUCCUACGGGAGAAAGUGGGGGAUCUUCGGACCUCACGCUAUCAGAUGAGCCUAGGUACGAUUAGCUAGUUGGUGAGGUAAAGGCUCACCAAGGCGACAAUCGUUAACUGGUCUGAGAGGAUGAUCAGUCACACUGGAACUGAGACACGGUCCAGGCUCCUACGGGAGGCAGCAGUGGGGAAUAUUGGACAAUGGGCGAAAGCCUGAUCCAGCCAUGCCGCGUGUGUGAAGAAGGUCUUCGGAUUGUAAAGCACUUUAAGUUGGGAGGAAGGGCAGUAAGUUAAUACCUUGCUGUUUUGACGUUACCGACAGAAUAAGCACCGGCUAACUUCGUGCCAGCAGCCGCCGUAAAAC
rnacentral:rRNA from 1 species